rnacentral:rRNA from 1 species
CUCGUGUCGUGAGAUGUUGGGUUAAGUCCCGCAACGAGCGCAACCCUUAUUGUUAGUUGCCAUCAUUUAGUUGGGCACUCUAGCGAGACUGCCGCAGACAAUGCGGAGGAAGGUGGGGAUGACGUCAAAUCAUCAUGCCCCUUAUGACCUGGGCUACACACGUGCUACAAUGGAGAGUACAACGAGUCGCAAAGCCGCGAGGCUAAGCCAAUCUCUUAAAGCUCUUCUCAGUUCGGAUUG